CUAAAGCUUAUCCGCCGCAGAUACUCCAACCUGAAAAAAUAUUGUCUACUCCACUGUUGAACUUAAGCUUCCUCUGGAAGUUGUUGUGGGUCAUCAAUUUUGUGCCUUGGUUAUUGUACGAUAGCUCUCAUACCAGCUAUCAGAACUGUGCUCUCCGGUUGUUGGGAAAAUCAUAUGUUUUGGUGCUUCAUUGAAGGGUUUAGACCCCUGAGAGUGCAUGAACAUGCAGCUACUGCUGGGAGGGAGAUAACAAGAUGCUCGGACUCGUAUGUAGCUGAAAUGUGUAUCACUCUGCAGGUGUAUCAUUAGAAGAUCUAGUAAAAACCUUUCCUUACACCGCGAGUCCUUUUUGUUGGUUGUAGUAGAAUAGGCUAUGUAGCUUUGUAUAGCUUUGAUGAGUGUAAUUUUUGUACAUAUUUGUUUUGCUCAAGUUAAGAUUUAGCCUAGUCAGCCCUUUUAGCCCCUCACUGGUGAAAUUCUCAUGUAUGGACACUGCAUCUUGUCACUGUUUAGAAUUCCCUUUCCUUUGGUUUCUAGUUGCUGAAAACUUGUAAAAAUGAAAUCACCUUUAUCGAUUGCAUGAUUUGCCGCA